rnacentral:lncRNA from 1 species
UUCAUUUCUUCUCUUCCGUCAGCGGUUGCUCCAGAUCCGUGGUCAAGGUUGGAUAUUACUUGUGCUGGGCUAAAUAGCAUCAAGUUCAAAUCCUUUCCAGACUGCUUAUGCACGGCAUACAGUCGCUUGACUACUUUCGCUGUACAUUCGAAAAUGGGAAGUCCAUUUGCUUCCAGAGGGGAUUUCCACGUUUAAAUUGUCUUGAUUCCUACAGAAUUAGGAUAAUGGCUUCUUAUGACUGGAUAGUUCGAUGUAAACAGCUUUCUCCGG